UACGGGGGGGGCAAGCGUUGUUCGGAAUUACUGGGCGUAAAGGGCUCGUAGGCGGCCAACUAAGUCGGACGUGAAAUCCCCAGGCUCAACUUGGGAACUGCGUCCGAUACUGAUUGGCUUGAAUCCGGGAGAGGGAUGCAGAAUUCCAGGUGUAGCGGUGAAAUGCGUAGAUAUCUGAAGGAACAUCAGUGGCGAAAGCGGCUUCCUGGACCAGUACCGACGUUCAGGCACGAAAGCGUGGGGAGCAAACAGG
rnacentral:rRNA from 1 species